CAGUCGCCACGGGAAUACGAAGGGUGCAAGCGUUACUCGGAAUUACUGGGCGUAAAGCGUGCGCAGGCGGUUUUGUAAGACAGAGGUGAAAUCCCCGGGCUCAACCUGGGAACUGCCUUUGUGACUGCAAGGCUAGAGUACGGCAGAGGGGGAUGGAAUUCCGCGUGUAGCAGUGAAAUGCGUAGAUAUGCGGAGGAACACCGAUGGCGAAGGCAAUCCCCUGGGCCUGUACUGACGCUCAUGCACGAAAGCGUGGGGAGCAAACAGGAUUAGAUACCCCCGUAGUCCCUGUCUCUUAUAC
rnacentral:rRNA from 1 species